rnacentral:rRNA from 1 species
GACGAACGCUGGCGGCGUGCUUAACACAUGCAAGUCGAACGGAAAGGCCCUGCUUUUGUGGGGUGCUCGAUUGGCGAACGGGUGAGUAACACGUGAGUAACCUGCCCUUGACUUUGGGAUAACUUCAGGAAACUGGGGCUCAUACCCGAUAGGAUCUCCUGCUGCAUGGUGGGGGUUGGAAAGUUUCGGCGGUUGGGGCUGGACUCGCGGCUUAUCAGCUUGUUGGUGGGGUAGUGACUUACCAAGGCUUUGACGGGUAGCCGGCCUGGGAGGGUGACCGGCGACAUGGGGCCUGAGAGACGCACCAGACGCCUACGGGCGGCAGUAGGGGAGAGUAUUGCACAAUGGGCGGAAGUGUGAGGCAGCAACGCCGCGAGCGGGAUGACGGGCUACGGGGUGUAAACCGAUUUGGAAGGAGACGAAGAGUGAGUGACGGUAACGGGUAAAGAAGCACCGGCUAACUACGUG